CAGCCGCCGCGGUAAUACGGAGGGGGCUAGCGUUGUUCGGAAUUACUGGGCGUAAAGCGCACGUAGGCGGCUUGGUAAGUUAGAGGUGGAAGCCUGGAGCUCAACUCCAGAAUUGCCUUUAAGACUGCCGAGCUAGCAGGUGAGAGAGGUAAGUGGAAUUCCGAGUGUAGAGGUGAAAUUCGUAGAUAUUCGGAAGAACACCAGUGGCGAAGGCGGCUCACUGGACGACUGUUGACGCUGAGGUGCGAAAGCGUGGGGAGCAAACAGGAUUAGAUACCCCUGUAGUCCCUGUCUCUUAUAC
rnacentral:rRNA from 1 species